rnacentral:tmRNA from 1 species
GUUUCGACAGAUUUAGUUCUUUAAAAACUGCAAGCCGGCGAUGAUCACAAGCCGUAAAACCGAUCAAAAACUAAACGGCACAAGCAAUUAUGCCGCCAAUUACGCGUACUGCUAAACCCAGUAUCUUAAUUGCGCUGAUGGAAUCUUUUUCUGGCGAGAAUUCAUCGGUGUCAACAAAGCCAGAAUGCUCUUUACUAGAUUGAUUCCCUAAUAAAGAAAAGAUAAAAAAAUCUUUAUCCUGAUUUUCCUGUUGACUGGAUCAGAUCGGGACGAGAAUUAAUUAUCAACCAAGCUUGUAGAUGUUUUUAUUAACCAAACCUGGAUCCGAGUUCAAUUCUCGGCAUCUCCACCC